UUCUUUUGGUUUGAUCUUUAUCAGUAUGCAAAAGAACCAUUCCGGCUGUCAGAGUUGCAUGAAGCCGAUGCCACAAAUGCAGUUCUUCUAUAAGACGCUCACCACGAGUGACACAAUCACACAUGGAGGUUUCUCCAUCCCUCGCUGUGUUGCUCAUCUUCCUCUUCUAUGAGACAACGCGGAUGGUCUCUGAAUUGGAGCACACCACUUCUUCUUCCUCUCCAUCUUCCUUCUUGAGUUCCUUAUGUUAUCUUUUCCCUCUGGUGACCUUGUAGAUUGUUACUCUGCAAAUGGUUCUUUACUUUUCAUUUUGGUCAGCUGAUUUGUCCAUGGUCUCUCACACUGAUGGUUAUUAAUUAAGCUAAGCAAAAGGGGACAUCUAGGGAUGCGACUGACUACACUAGGACGCCAUGUGGUUUAUUCUUUGUAUCUAUAGAUUUCAUUAAUUACGGAUAGCAACGGGGAUCAUUGAUCCGUGUUGUUCUUCAAGUUUAGCAAUAUUUUCUUAUUUGAGUUACUAUCUUAAGGAAUCUGAGCUAAUUCAAAGGUUGAAGAGCACCAAAAAAAUGAUUAUGAAACUUGAUGAUGACAUACUAAAGGUUAGCGCUGCAGUGCACAAUACUACCACUAUUCAUUUAAAUUGAUUUAGUCCAAGAUCAAGUGGUGGGAGUCCAUUGAUGCAACAAACCAUAACCUUUCAGGCUGCAACUGGAGAAGUUUACCCCUAUGGGAUGUCAUGUGGUUACACCUCUGAUGAAAGAUACAUAGAUAUGGAAACACGGCUACAAUUUCAGUUUUUUCAACUCGAGUUUCUGGUUGUAUCUGCAGCCGGUGUCACUAACUGAGGUUUGUCUGAUCAUAGCAUCCAUCUUAUUCUUAUUCACUACUUAAGAAGAAAUAGGACAACAAGAAAUAGUACUAUAAAAUAAGUAUGAUGGACGUCAUGUAAAUUUUAACAAGAGUAUCAGAGGGUGUUGCCUGCUUCAUCUGAGACACGAAGCAGUUCAAUAAUUGCAAGUUGACUUUUGGGUCUUCCUUUCCUUGACUAAACUUUUAUGUUUCUGGUUAACUGAAAGAGAUAACUGGUUAUGCUUGGCACCAUGGUUGCUGGCUCUGGAUAUCAUUAAGCAGUAUUCAGCCAGUUCUCUUUAAAGAAAAAUUGCCUCGGAUGCGAUUGCCUAUCCUAGGCCCCCACGUGAUGUUGAUUUUUAAUAAAUAUAUUUCACUUGUGAAUAGAAAGAGAACACAUUGAUUUACUUUCUUCUCAAAGUCUAGCACUUCUUUGUGUUCCUUUUUUCUAACUCAAGAGUAUGCUUAUAUGUUUUCCUUCAGUUUUUGGUAUUCAGCUAUGUAUAUGUUAAUAUAUUUUGCCUCUAAAUGAAGGAAAUACACUUCAUUUAAUCCAGGACUGGAGUGAUGCCGACACCAUUCUGACGGUCACACUACUGCAUCUCGUGGUCGUACUAGGUUUAGUCAAAGUCAAACUUUAGAAAGUUUGACUAAAAAUAUAUAUAUGAAAAUAUACUAAUAUCUAAAAUAUAAAUUGGUACUAUUAGAAUCACCUUGAAAUGUACUCUAAUAUUAUAUAAUAAAUAUGUAAUCGUGGAUGUUGAUAUUUUUUGUUACAUCUUUGGUCAAACUUUAAAUUUCUUGACUUUGACUAAAGCCAAAACGAAGGGUAAAUAAAAACGGAGGGAGUACAUUUUUCAUCAUUCUCUACUUACUUAUUUGAUGAAUACUUAUCAUUGUUUUGUAUUGAAUGACAGGUCAUGUGGUAUUAAACUAUUAAUGAUGAUUAAUAUUGGAUUUUACCAAACGACUACUACAGAAAAAAUGGGCUUGCUUCUUGUGCGGGCAGGAAAAGUUCUUGUUCUUUCAUGAAAUGUGCGAUGGUGUUCAAUGUGUGUGAUAUUGUAUAAAUGCAAGCUUGAUAUAGAAUCUCUGCGCGAUAUGCAUGUGAGUAUAUUUUGGUAUGGCUAUCUCUACUGAGCCCCUUUUUCCUUGUUCAUUGUGCAAUCACAAGGCAAAAAACAACCAGUCUAAAGGAAUGUAGCAUUUAGAAAUAAAGCACAUUGAAGCUUCCGGUAAUUUCCGGCAUUUUGAUUGCACCUCUGUCUGCACAAAAAUUAUGAAUCACUGAUCUGUAGGUGUUUGUCCCUUAUUGCCUCCUUCUUACUUUCUACUCAAAGUCUGUAUCCUUUUGUGCAAUGCCAAAUAUUUCAUGAAAUAAAAAUGUUUAUAGGGCUUUCUACCAAGUAUCUGGAUCUUACCUUGGUAAUGGUCAGGUGCUAAUCAACAUCUUAUAAAGAACUUGCAUAGUCUCUUUGCCUUUUUGCUUCUGACCUAAAACUUGCUAAAACCACCCAAGUGUUGAGGAGCUUGCCUUCCAUGUGACAAGAAGGUAGCAAUUUUUAUCCAUGACAGUUAAACCACUCUAUGCAUGUGCCCUGCAUCCUUUAGAUACUGCUCGCUGUUAUGACUAAAUAGGUUAAUAGUCGCUUGCAGCCAUGGAUCUUAGACUAUGAGUUUGGUUGCUGGUCCUAGCAUAGUUGUCCAUUAUUCUUAGCUACUGCUUAUUUAUGUUCAGAAAGAUUCAUUACUCAUUGAUUAGGCCUGUUGUGUCUUGGCUAUACAUAUUAUCCAAUGGCUCCUCUUACAUUCUCUAGGUGUACUUAUUAACUCACAGCUUAUCAUUGAUUUAUGUUAAUGCUUCACAUAUCAUUUACCAGUUGUUUACCAGUGCGAAUUACAGGGCAGCGCAGCAAGCCCGCGCUCUAUCUCAUUUCGGUUAAAAACUAGAAUGUGAGGUGGGCAUCUUUGAGCUGAAAGAAACUUGAUGGUCGAAGUCUUGCCAUCAGUAUAUUCAUAAACACAAUUACAUCCAAAGGUUCAAUAUGUUCGAUGUGUUUGCUCAACUCCUUCUUUGGUUCAUUAUCUCUACAGCAAUAUUGAGCCUGGUAAUCUACUUGUCAGAUAAGAAUAGUCUUAUAGUUGUUAGAUUGCUCGAAAUUCUUAACCUUGAACAAAAAUGCGCCUAUGCACAUUGAUUGAGCAUACAUGCUUCCUCGAGGCCAGAAUCUUUUUUCCUCAACAUUAUUAUUGAAUCAAAUGUUGACCUACGAAUGUAAUUGUCCUCUCUAUAGUGUGUCAGUUGUUUUUUCAAUGAUAUA